UAACCAAUCCUCCCCUGGUAACCCUGGUCCAUCUACAACACACUGUAACCAAUCCUCCCCUGGUAACCCUGGUCCAUCUACAACACACUGUAACCAAUCCUCCCCUGGU